rnacentral:rRNA from 1 species
GACGAACGCUGGCGGCGUGCUUAACACAUGCAAGUCGAACGGAAAGGCCCUGCUCUUGUGGGUUGCUCGUGUGGCGAACGGGUGUGUAACACGCGAGUAUCCUGUCCUUGACUUUGGGAUAACUCUAGGAAACUGGGGCUAUUAUCGGAUAGGAGCUCCUGCUGCAUGGUGGGGGUUGGAAAGUUUCGGCGGUUGGGGAUGGACUCGCAGCUUAUGAGCUUGUUGGUGGAGUAGUUGCUUACCAAGGCUUUGACGGGUAGCCGGCCUGAGAGGGUGACCAGCCACAUUGGGACUGAGAGACGGCGCAGACUCCUACGGGAGGCAGCAGUGGAGAGUAUGGCACAGUGGGCGGAAGCCAGAGGCAGCAACGCCGCGUGCGUAAUAACGGCCUUCGAGUUAUAAACCGCUGUCGACGGUGACGAAGCGGGAGUGACGGUAAUUGGUAAAGAAGCACCGGCUAACUACGUG